rnacentral:lncRNA from 1 species
CAUUGAUUCGACCAUUUUUUUGUAAUCGCCGGGACAGUUUUUCAAUACUCGCACGGAUUCUUCCUUUUCCCGGUACUCUUCCGGAUUCUACUAUUUUUCGGUACUCACACUGAUUCAACCCUUUUCCGGUACUCGUCAGGACAAUUUUUUCAAUACUCGGAUGGAUUCUACCUUUUCCCGGUACUCGCCCGGAUUCUAUCAUUUUUCGGUACUCACAUUGAUUCAACCAUUUUUUU